rnacentral:sRNA from 2 species
AGAAACGAGUGUGGUUUCUAUGGCCCCAUAACCGCCAUUCCUUGGCAUCAAUUGGUAAAAAAAUUUCGGCAACUCUUGUUUCCGAAAAUACAUUCUUUUGCUCCUAAUCACUCGAGGAUAUUAUGUUACAUCUAAUGUAUAGGGUUUAGUUUUCUAUCACUACUAGUCUCAUUACUUUGUAACAUUACUCCCAAACUGUUGAUCACUCAAAAAGGUUCUGAGGAACUGGGAAAAAACAUAAAAGUAGCACAACAUAUAUACCCCAAGAUGGAUAGACGAGGGGGGGGAAAAAAAGAAAGAAAGAAAGAACAUCACCUAAGAAAUGACAUUUAUACAAUCUAAACAUAAAAUUAUUAGAAUUUACAACUUCGCCCUAGCAGUCCCCUUCUUCCCCAACGCUUCCCUGACCAUCUUCACAGCGGCAGCCGAACACCCCCACGAAGCCUGAUAUCCAAACCCGCCAUGGCCAUAGUUAUGGACAAUAAUAACAUUCCCAAUCGUUUCGGUCUCCAUCCUCACCCCUCCUUCCCUCAGUGGCCGCAAACCAACUCCGUGUCGGAUGAUAUCCAGCCCUUCGAUGCCGCGCUGUUUGCCGUUUGCAUCUUUACCAACUAGAUUCGGACAAAGAUCAACGCAUCGUUUCAUGAUGCGCACGGCUAUAGAUGGGUCUGGCUGGGAUUCCCAGUUGUUCUUUUGAUAGGUGCCGCCAAGGAUGGUGCCGCCGCCUGGGAGAAGUGAGCGAAAGGAUAAGGUAGUUGAUGAAAUUGCACAGACAUCCAAAAGAAAAGAAAAGAAAAGAUAAGAGAAACUCAGGGAGAGGAAAAGCGUUGAAUCCACUAACCGGCAGCCCUAUUCAUAAUAUAGCAAACCUCAUCGUCACCAUCAUCGGACCCGG